CCUCACCCACGCAGUACUGAUUUGCCGUUGGAUGAAGAGAAUGAGACUUCUGGACUGCUGUUUUUCUCCUCCUGUUGCAGGCUCUGCUGCCCCCGGGACCCACGCAGACUAAUCGACAGAUGAGUCAGAUGCUGAACUGGUUCUGCACAGAAAGUCUAGGAUUUGGGGCUUAAGGAACGCCACUUCUCAAAACAUUCAUUACUGUCAGUAUUGCAAGCUGUAGCUCUUAAAGAACAAUAAGCAAACAACAAAAGGACACAGCAUGGAUCACUUGGCUAAAGAUGGCUGAAUGAAGAUAAAUAAAAAAAGUCAAGGUUAUGACAAAACAGAACAGCCAUUUCCAUAUUCAUUUUUAUUAAUACAAAAUGAGGCCAACUCUUGCUUUUAAAAGGAUCUGUAAUUUCAAGAAUCGUAUGGAAAACUAAGAGGUCAAAACAGCUAUAGAACAGCAUGAAGUUCAAGGAUUGCACUGCUUAAAGAACAAAGAUGUUUUGGCCCUAACACCUGGAGACUGCAUGUAAGCUUUUGGGUUUGCUGGCUUCACUAAUUACCAUGGCUGUUACGAGAGUAAAGCAUGAAUAUAGGGAUCAAAGGGGAGUUGCUUUUUUUGUUGUGUAUGAACAGAGGACGUGGCCUGGAACAGAAGGUAGAAGUGGUAUAUAAUAGAGGCUUACCAUCUUCUCAUUGGAGACAGCAGCAUAACAGCACUUUCACUCUGUUUUCUCUGCCACUGUGAAUAUGGUUCUUUACUUUGGGACAAAAUUUGGCUCUACGGCUUAACCCAAAGUAAAUGCAGUACUCCAGGACUGAAGACCUGGCCUGGGCAGCUAACAGACAACAUAAUCAAGACAAGAGUUCCUGACACAGAGACUGAGAAAAUGAUUCCAGGCUCCUCUGUUUAGUUGACAGUGUGGCCCCAAGUAAAUGUCAGCCCAACGGAUGGCGAGGGAUCCCUUUGCUGCUGACCUAGCAUGCUGCGAGACUGUGGCCUGGGGAAAGCUGAGAGAAGCAGUUCAGCCAGCGCAGAUGUUCUCUGAGCACUCAGCUCCAAGAGUCAAGAACGCACCAAAGCAGACUGACAGGUAGUUUCCUAUGCAGUAAUGGCAAAUCGGGGGGAAAAAAAAAAAAGAAAAUCUACUGAGUGAAGUUGGUUUGCCAAGUAGCUGAAAGAAGAGUCUGGCAAUAUUACCUGACAAGUGCCAAGCCUUCUCCCUCCUCUGAGUGGCCCGAGAGGCAGCAUCGGCGCCGAGGGCAAAGGGGCCAGAAUCAAAACUCACUGAACAUGGAGAAACACUUCAUUAAGUGAAGGAACAACAACAGUAAGAAAACAGUUUCAGGAAUAUUUUCAGCAUUUCAGUUACUGUACUUCAGCAGAAAAUAAAGGAUGCUUUAAAAAAUAAACCAGAAAAAAUAUACGCCUUAAAACAUAAAAUGCUUCUGGCAUCAUUAAUGAAAUGUCACACUGAAGACUAAAUGGGCAUCUAGAUACCUGUGCUAAUGAGCUGGAGAAGAAGUUAUAAAAGUUGAAGAUGAGAUUAAAAUGCAGCCUGUCCUAAGCCGUUGCCAAAUUACCCUUCUUUUAACGUGUUGUUACAAAAUACCCUAACAGCCUCUGCUGAACUUUUCACUUACAUCAGAGGGCCAUGGAGUCCACAUUCAUCCGCCUUCUAACCAAGGCUUACAGCACCUCACGCUUUUGAGCAAGACAACUUGCCAUCGGAGCUGGAGCUCCUUGGGAACCCAGUCCCCUUUCGUGGGGAAGGCAGGCCUGCACCUGCCGCUUGUACUCUGCGGCCCAGGGAGAAGCAGCCUCUGCGUCCAUUUAGACUCAAACUCUUCCCUCUCUUGCCAGACAAACCAAGGCCAAGUACCAAGCCAGCAGCCUAAGCAAAUCCUAUCGGAUCGCACAGCUGGGAGGUUCUUGUCUUGUCUGCACAGGAAAGUCUGCAACAAUUGCAAGAAACACUUUGCUUCUCAGCCAACAUCCUGCCAUCUCCAUUUACCUGCCACUGCUCAUGAAUCCCUUGGAAUUUUGCAUUGCAAAAGCUGGCUCCAAGGAAAACAUUCCCUUGUGCUCCCCAGUUUCCACAAUAGUGUGAGUUUGUGUUUCACAAAAAGCAGUUGGGAUAACAAUUAUGAUGCUGUGAGCAACUCCUGAGGGUAAAAAUGUCAGUUUUGCUGCAUACUCCGCUGUUGCAGCUACCAGCACUGCUGUAUUGCUCCCAUACAAAUACACACCACUUAAUACACCAUACAGAUUUCACCACUUAAUAUCCAAACCUAUGAAAUAACGCCAGACUCUGAGCCCACGGCAGAGUGCCAUGGACCAAACAGCAAAAAGGAGGGAGGGCUGCGGCUCACAACCAAACUGUCCUGUACCCACACUCACACACUGAAGCUGAAUAGAAGACAGAGGAAAGAGGGACGAAUAAGUCUGAUAUAAGAUGGAGGUAUCAGACUUACAUGAGAGAAGGGCAACUGGUGAAAUCAUUCUCCUGGAUGAAGUUGAUUUCAAAGACCUGUGAAUACUUCUUGUUGAUGGGCUGUAGCACCAGGUCUUGAAGUCUGACCAGAGGAGUGGAAGGAGCUGCUCAUAUUGCUGAUUGAAGCCUUUUGAAUUAGAACUGAGAUCUGGUGCUUCUGGAAGCGUGAGAGUCACCACAGGGAAACACAAGCCUUCGCUCAAAUGCCAUGCAAGGAAAAAAAAAAAAAACAACUGACAGGCCAGUGCUGGAACAGGCCAGGCCCUAAGCACCUGGUAACACCAUCUCACCUGAACAAAUAUCCCUGCAUAGGACACAGAUGCCACACUCUCAUUUGCCUCCCUCCCAGCCUGCACACAUCCAUGGAACAAACCCAGCUUAAACAAGCUUCCUGUGCACAUGCAAGACAGCAGGUCACAGAUGGAUAAAAAUCAGCAAGAGGAGAAUAGACAAUGAGACAAAGUCAAACAGAUUCUCUCUUAUUUUUGUUCACAGUUUCUGUCCCCCAAUCUUCCACUAGUGUGCUCCAAGAUGAAACCGAGACCUGGUUCUGAGGACACUCUGCUCCAGGGCGGCAGUGUGUAUAAGCCUGUGCUGUGUCUGGCUCUCUGCACACCGCUUCCAACACUGUCCCAGAAGGCCAAGCGACCAAGCACCACUAUCUUACCGUCCUACAGCCCAGUACAUGUAACAUAACUUUAACACAUUACUAUGAAAACACUACUCUGGUGGGCUGUGAUGCAGAUCUUACAGUAUUGCAGAUACUUUGAACUGGAAAAAAAAAAAAAAAAAAAAAAACCUAAACACAAAACAUUAAUAAUGAUACCUUAGAUCUCAUAAAAGACUCAAACCAAUCAUUAUGCAGUUUUGUCAAUCUGUAGAAGGCAGAGGGAGCCCUGAGCAAUACAAGCAGCCAUCCUUACCACUUAAAUGGAGGCCAGGGAUCAAUUCCUCAGACGUUUGUUGUUAGCAACGUAAAUACUACUGGUCAACAAGUUUUCUAACAAGGUCAGUUAUGUUGCUAAGCUAGUCUUUUUGGAAUAAAAACUGAACCUCUGGGGCUUUGUGGUCAGACUCAGAGCAGAGAUUAAUAUUCAUAAUCUUCCUGUAUCAGCCUCACCAUGCACAAGUAAAGGCUGAAUUAAGCCAGUGUCAAACACAUCCAAAAUCCCUCUGCUGCAAUGCUGGUGACAACAAUGCAAAGCAUCCUUGGAGAAAUUACUCUAAACCACUGUAUGCUGACACAGCCCUAGCAUGGCCUAACCCAAGACAGCUCUUUCACACUCGGAAAGCAGACAGAGUUCCUCUUAGCCUGUCACUUGCCUCCUACAUCUGCAAUUAUCUGUCAUCUUCACUGCUUCCAUUUUAGUGUUACCGGCAAUUUCUCUCCGAGUGUUUGUUGCAACACUAACCCAUUGUUCCCAGCAAAUUUUUUUUCUUGAUAUAAAGGCAAGGUAAUUCUACUUUUGUUGUUGUAUUGUACAUUCUCAUAACUAUCUAAACACUCAGUAACCAAUAAAGCACUCAUUAGAGGGAAAUUAAUUCUA